CAGGCGGCCUGGCGCACCUCCUGGCGCCCCGCCCGCGCCUCAGGACCCGCGGGGCGGUGCGGCGCAUCCUGCGGGCGGCUGCGGCGGCGGCGGGCGCGGCGGCGGCGGAGGGACGCAAGAUGAUGAAGUUUCGGUUCCGGCGGCAGGGCGCGGACCCGCAGCGCGAGAAGCUCAAGCAGGAGCUCUUCGCCUUCCACAAGACCGUGGAGCAUGGCUUCCCCAACCAGCCCAGCGCCCUGGCCUUCGACCCUGAGCUUCGCAUCAUGGCCAUUGGCACCAGAUCUGGGGCCGUCAAGAUCUAUGGCGCACCUGGUGUGGAAUUCACAGGCCUGCACCGGGAAAUGGCCACAGUCACCCAGAUGCACUUCCUGCCUGGCCAGGGCCGCCUCCUGACCCUGCUGGAUGACAGCAGCCUGCAUCUCUGGGAGAUCGUCCACCAUAAUGGCUGUGCCCACCUGGAGGAAGCACUCAGCUUUCAACUGCCCAGUCGGCUGGGCUUUGACGGUGCCAGUGGCCCGCCCACCCUGGCCCACAUCACAGUGAUCCUGCUUGUGGCUGCUGGCAACAUGGCAGCCCUGGGCACUGAAGGUGGCAGCGUCUUCUUCCUGGAUGUUUCCACCUUGAUGCUGAUUGAGGGUCAGACCCUUGGCCCUGAGGAGGUUCUGCGAAGUUUGCCAGAUGACUACCGGUGCGGGAAGGCGCUGGGCCCCGUGGAGUCCCUGCAGGGACACCUGCGGGACCCCUCCAGGAUCCUCAUUGGCUACAGCCGGGGCCUGCUGGUCAUCUGGAACCAGGCAGCACAGUGUGUGGACCGCGUCUUCCUGGGGAACCAGCAGCUGGAGAGCCUGUGUUGGGAGCGCAGUGGCAGCACUCUGGUCAGCUCACACAGCGACGGCAGCUAUGCCAUCUGGUCUGCGGACACUGGCAGCUCUCCAGUAACGCAACCUACAGUGGCCACCAUGCCCUACGGCCCCUUUCCCUGCAAAGCCAUCAAUAAGAUUCUGUGGCGGAACUGUGCAUCUGGGGGCCACUUCAUCAUCUUUAGCGGUGGCAUGCCCCGUGCCAGCUACGGUGACCGCCACUGUGUGAGUGUGCUCCGGGCGGACACUCUGGUGACCCUGGACUUCACCUCCCGCGUCAUUGACUUCUUCACGGUGCACAGCGUGCGGCCAGAGGAUGAGUUCGACGAGCCCCAGGCCCUGGCUGUGCUGCUCGAAGAAGAGCUGGUGGUGCUGGACCUGCAAAUGCCUGGCUGGCCAGUGGUGCCUGCUCCGUACCUGGCCCCAUUGCACUCGUCCGCCAUCACCUGCUCGGCCCACGUGGCCAAUGUCCCUGCCAAGCUGUGGGCCCGCAUCGUGAGCGCUGGGGAACAGCAGAGCGCCCAGCCUGCCUCCAGUGCCUCGAGCUGGCCCAUCACCGGGGGCCGGAACCUGGCCCAGGAACCAUCUCAACGAGGGCUGCUGCUGACUGGCCACGAGGACGGCACUGUGCGGUUCUGGGAUGCCUCUGGCGUGGCGCUGCGGCCGCUCUACAAGCUGAGCACAGCUGGCCUCUUCCAGACCGACUGUGAGCACGCCGACAGCCUGGCCCAGGCCCCCGAGGACGACUGGCCGCCCUUCCGCAAGGUGGGCUGCUUUGAUCCCUACAGUGAUGACCCCCGACUUGGGGUGCAGAAGGUGGCACUCUGCAAGUAUACAGCGCAGAUGGUGGUGGCCGGCACUGCAGGCCAGGUGCUGGUGCUGGAGCUCAGUGACAUGCCCGCAGAGCAGGCGGUCAGCAUGGCCAGUGUGGACCUCCUCCAGGACCGAGAGGGCUUCACGUGGAAGGGCCACGAGCGGCUGAGCCCGCGCACGGGGCCCCUGCCCUGGCCCGCCGGCUUCCAGCCCCGGGUGCUGGUUCAGUGCCUGCCGCCGGCCGCCGUCACCGCUGUCACGCUGCACACGGAGUGGAGCCUCGUAGCCUUUGGCACCAGUCACGGCUUCGGCCUCUUCGACUACCAGCGCAAGAGCCCAGUGCUGGCCAGGUGCACGCUUCACCCCAAUGACUCCCUGGCGAUGGAGGGGCCGCUCUCCCGGGUGAAGUCGCUCAAGAAGUCUCUGCGCCAGUCUUUCCGGCGCAUCCGUAAAAGCCGAGUCUCGGGCAAGAAACGGGUUGUUAAUACCAACAGCAAGCUGCAGGAGGCCAACGCACAGCUGGCAGAGCAGGCCUGCCCCCACGACGUGGAGAUGACCCCCGUGCAGCGCCGCAUCGAGCCCCGCUCAGCCGAUGACUCCCUCUCGGGCGUGGUGCGCUGCCUCUACUUUGCCGACACGUUUCUCCGAGAUGCGGCCCACCACGGACCCACCAUGUGGGCAGGCACCAACUCAGGCUCUGUGUUUGCCUACGCACUGGAGGUGCCAGUGGCAGUGGCAGGCAGCGAGAAGCGGCCCGAGCGAGCGGUGGAGGCUGUGCUGGGCAAGGAGGUGCAGCUAAUGCAUCGUGCGCCUGUGGUGGCCAUUGCCGUGUUGGAUGGGCGUGGCCGCCCGCUGCCUGAGCCCUUCGAGGCCUCUCAGGACCUGGCCCAGGCCCCGGACAUGCAGGGUGGCCAUGCAGUGCUCAUCGCGUCUGAGGAGCAGUUCAAGGUGUUCACACUACCCAAGGUGAGCGCCAAGACCAAGUUCAAGCUGACAGCCCAUGAGGGCUGUCGUGUGCGCAAGGUGGCACUGGCCACAUUCGCCAGCGUGGCCUGCGAGGACUAUGCCGAGACCUGCCUGGCCUGCCUCACCAACCUGGGUGACGUGCACGUCUUCUCGGUGCCGGGCCUGAGGCCCCAGGUGCAUUACUCCUGCAUCCGGAAGGAGGACAUCAGCGGCAUCGCCUCCUGUGUCUUCACGCGCCACGGCCAGGGUUUUUACCUGAUUUCCCCAUCGGAGUUUGAACGCUUCUCCCUAAGUGCCCGGAACAUCACAGAGCCGCUCUGUUCUCUGGACAUCAGCUGGUCCCAUGGUGCUGCCCAUGCCAGCUACAGACUCCAAGAGUCGCCCAAGUUGAGCCAGGCUAACGGGACUCCUGGCAUCCUCCUGGCCCCACAGAGCCGUGAUGGAAGCCCUAAUCCUGUCCACAGCAAAAGAGCUGACACCCCAGAGCGACCUGAGGCCAUGCUCUCGCCCAUGUCCAUUGACUCGGCCAUCAGUGCUGACACCACUCUGGACACAACGGGGGACAUCACGGUGGAGGAUGUGAAGGAUUUCCUGGGGUGAGCUCUUCGGAGGAGGCUGCGAAGAAUCUGAGGAACCUGGUGGAAGACGAGGCUCGAGCCUGUGCCAUCCUGAUUAAAUGAGGAAGGCCAGGACUACCUGCCACCACUGCCUUGCUUGGAGCUGGGAUCCAGGACCUGUGUCCCCUCCCAGCCCUUCGCAGACGACGCCUGCUCACCUGUGGGCCCCAGCGGCACCUGCCCACCCUGGCCCCGGGGUGUGGGCCUGGAACUCGGGUGGACUCGGACUGGCCUCUCCUACAGGCAGUACCUGGAAGCCAGCUGCCACAAGGAAGGACACACACCGUCCUUUCCCCCUCCUUUUGCAAAGAAUAUUUUUCUAAUGCCUGGACUGGACAGUGCUGGGCUGGACACUCCUUUCUAAAACUAUUUUGGUACUUGUUCCUGGGCUAGCAUGUCCCCCUCUUCCCACCCUGUAUGUUUGUGUGAGUGAGACAGACACUGGGUGCUCCCUUGGCACCCAGGAUGGGGGCCCAGUCAGGUAUGUGUAUGUGGGGGUCAGAAUGGUUUCCCUGUAGAUUGUACCUUGGGGGUUUUUCUGUAAUUUUAACAUUAGCACUGUUUUAAUAUGAAAAAUGCUGAUUUUUAAUAUUGAAAAUAAAAGCAUUUAAUAUCUCUUAAA